GCAAACUUGGUCAUUUAGAGGAAGUAAAAGUCGUAACAAGGUCUCCGUUGGUGAACCAGCGGAGGGAUCAUUAUAGAAGUUGCAAAACUCCUAAACCAUCGUGAACUAUACUGCUGAACGUUGCUUCGGUGGGCGGUCCCGGGGAGGGACCGUAGCCCGCGAGGGCGCCCGCCGGAGGACCCAAACCUCUGAAUUUACAAGUCUCUCUGAGCAAGAAAACAAAUGAAUCAAAACUUUCAACAACGGAUCUCUUGGUUCGGGCAUCGAUGAAGAACGCAGC
rnacentral:misc_RNA from 1 species